GCUGCGGUAGCUCAAUUGGUCAGAGCAUCGCACGUGUAAUGCGAAGACGGUGGGAUCGUUCCCCACCUGCGGCA